CAUCGUGAGGUGGAAUCUGAAGAAAGCCGGAUUUUAGAAGUUGAAAGGUCUUCUAAUGGGCAAAACUCUGGCCUGACGAAGAGAAAUCGCAUACAAGGCUCCAAGCGAGGGUAAGGCUACAAACUAAGUUGAAGCCCCAAAGCUACACGGAAUCGCUUGGGGUAAAUGCGGCAGGUAGAUGGAGGGAAAGAAUGU
rnacentral:ncRNA from 1 species